rnacentral:rRNA from 1 species
GCCCUUAGAGUUUGAUCCUGGCUCAGAAUGAACGCUGGCGGCGUGCCUAACACAUGCAAGUCGAGCGAGAAAACUCCUUCGGGAGUGAGUACAGCGGCGGACGGGUGAGUAACACGUGAGAAUUUCCCCUUCAGUGAAGAAUACCCCCGAGAAAUCGGGGUUAAUACAGCAUACGUCCCUUCGGGGAGAAAGGUGGCCUCUUGCUACCGCUGAAGGAUAAGCUUGCGGGCUAUCAGCUAGUUGGUGGGGUAAUGGCUCACCAAGGCUAUGACGGCUAACCGGCCUGAGAGGGUGUUCGGUCACAUUGGAACUUAGAUACGGUCCAGACUCCUACGGGAGGCAGCAGUGGGGAAUAUUGCGCAUGGGCGAAAGCCUGACGCAGCGACGCCCCGUGAAGGAUGAAGGUCUUCGGAUUGUAAACU